ACGUGAUUGAUCGACUUUACCCC
rnacentral:piRNA from 1 species